GGUUGUUUCCUCAGAGUUGUGAAAAAUCUAUGUUCUGUAUUUGCCAAUACAGUCUGCACAAUUAUAGCAGGGUGGUGCAGGUUGCAGAUCUGAAGGUGCUAUUGGUCUGUACUGUAGAUGAACUAUGAUGGACAACAACAAUGGAAAUCUGUGAAAAGAAUGUAUUUUAUUUAAAAGCGCAAGAAAAAACAAAAUCAAGCAUCAUGGAUGAAUAAAGCUGCAAGUGAAGAGUUCAGAAUAUGACUGUAGCAUGUACAGGAAUGUAUCAGAAGCCUGAGAAGUCUGCUUUCCCUCUUGCUCUUAUUGAGAGUUCUGGCUAUGGAAUCCAAAAGGCUACAAUGAGAUGAGCUCACCCACCAGUUGAGAAAGAAGAACAUAAGAAAUAAGAGAAAGAGAAUAAGAAAUAGACCACGUGGCCUGUCGAACCUGCUCCACCAUUCAGUAAGAUCAAAGGCUGAUCUUUGCACGGACUCAGCUUCACUUACUCAUCCACUUACCAUAGCCCUUAAAAGACACACUCGACAAUCAAAGAAAUAUGGAUAGAAGUGACUCAGGAAACCAGCAAUUGAAGGUUGGGCACAUGUUUUCCAGGUAGGAGAGCUCGAGGAUUGAGGACCUCAGGGGAGUUACUUUCAUCAAUCUUUCACUAAUCCAAAGAAUUCCAAUCAAAUUUGUAAAACAUGAUCUUCCCUUAACAAAGCCAUGCUGACAAACCCUGACUUUCAAAGUGACAGUUUAUCCUAUCUCUCACGAUUGAUUACAACAAUUUACCCUACACUGGAGUAAGACUAACGGGCCUACAAAUUGUUUGGCAUUUUCUUUGUACUUCUUUUAAACAAUGGAGGCACAUUUGCAUUCCUCCAGUACUUCAGCAUCUCAAAUGUGUUUAGUGAAGAUUCAAAAAUAAUCCUCAAAGCUUCUCUUUGACCUUCAUAUUCCUCGGGAACAUUCCAUCUGGCUCUGGCGCUAAGACACUUUCAAACAUUCCAACUCCUCUAAUACUCCCUCUCUCAUUACAAUUACUUCAUCCAAUAUUUCACACUACUCCUCUUGAAUUUCAAUAUCCAUGUCAUCCCUUUCCUAUGUGAGUACAAAAACAUUCAUUUAAAAUUCUUCCCAUAUCCUCUGCAUCUUCACACAAGUUCCCUUCUUCAUCUCUGAAAGGUCACACUUUUUCAUUAAGUAUUCUUUUCUCUGUAUGUACCGGUAAAACAUCUUUUGGAUUAUCCUUUAUCUUGCUUGCUGCUAUUUUCCUCAUACCCAUUCUUUGAUUUCCAUAUUUAUAUUUUUAUUUGGUCCCUGUAUAUUCGAUAUUCCUUUGGCUCGUGUUGAGUUGUUUUGUGGCUAUAAUAAGGUUUCUUUUUCAGUUUACUCCACAUUAUCUCUUUUUCAUGUUAUAAGAAUACUUUGAAGUGUUUAUUGUAGUGAAUUGGAAGUAUUCUAGCAACGUUUAUAAAAUGCAAUGAAUCUUCUAUGUUGAUUUUCAAUCCAUGUUUGGUUUUGUCCCUGAAAACAAGGAGGUACGAGUUACCCAGUAGCAGGAUAGCCAUUAGUGUAUUGCAUCCACUGUCUGCCUGAAUGUUGUCUCAUAGUACAAACAUUCUCAUUCCUUCUUUCUUAAUCACUCAUUCAUUAAACCAAAUAAA